rnacentral:lncRNA from 1 species
CCGAGCUGCUGUUGUGCUCCAUGUCUGAAAGAUGUUUUCUUUUUUCGUUCUUUGCUCUAGUUACGAGGAUCCUGACAAGUGCCUGCUUCUCUAUGGUGAUGAUCAGGUAUGAAACAACAAUAAAAUGCCAUUAUUAUCUUUGGAGAGACAAGAUGGAAUCCAUUAAAUAAGAAGAUGCCAGUACAGAGGAAAAUCCAGAGGGGAAAAAAGAAUUCUUAGAAAUUAAAAUUGUGAUUUUAAAUACUUAAUAAAAUGGUUGGAAGAUAAUAUUUUCCCAGGAAGCAGAACAACAACAACAACAAUAAAAAAACAGAAAAAAGUGAAAUAAAGAGAAAAGAUUAACAAAAACCAUACAACCAGUCUGGGAAGUACAAUAUUCAAAUACUAUGCACACAAAAAGAGAAAGAGAGGGAAGAAAAUAAUCCAAUAGUUUAAGAACAUUUUCCAAAACAUUGAGAGCAAAGAGAAGAUUUUAGAAGUGUCCAGAGGAGACAAGUCAGCUCACCAUGCAGAGGAUCAGGACUCAGUAAUGGAUUUGAACUUCACCACAGCAGAUCUGGAAGCUAGAAAGCAAAGCAGCAGUUCCUUCAGAAAUGGAAGGAAAAUUGUCUCCAGUGUGGCAUUCUAUAUCCUGGUAAACUAUUACUGAAAUUUGAGGGUAGAAUAAAGUCAUCUGCAAAGAUGUAAAGUUUCAAAAAGUACUUCCCAUAUAGGUAUCCUUCUCAGGAAACCAAUGAAGGAUUUUCUCUGUAAAGUGAAGGGGAAAACUGAAAAGAAGACGUGGGAUAGGAAAACAGGAGAUGCAAUGAAGCAGAAUAGCAAAUAGCAUCCUCAGGAUGAUGGGGGAGGAAGGACCUGAAGGGCAGCAGAGUACAUCACCCCAAAUAUGCCUUUUUGCCAUAAGGAUUAUUUCAGGCUGAUUAUUUUUAAGAAACAGCAGGCACAGGAGGAGCUCUGAAAGCCAAGUAGAAGUUACCUUUUUGUAAGAGCAUUUUACAUUUAUAAGGGGAAUCUCCAUGUGUAGGGGUGUCUUCCUGGCAUGCUGCAGUCCAUGGGGUUGCAAGAGUCAGACAUGACUUAGUGACCAGACAACAACAACC